UACAGGGGGUGCAAGCGUUGCUCGGAAUUAUUGGGCGUAAAGCGCGCGUAGGCGGCUACUUAAGUCGGAUGUGAAAGCCCUUGGCUCAACUGCGGAAGUGCACCCGAAACUGAGUGGCUAGAGUACGGAAGAGGGUCGCGGAAUUCCCGGUGUAGAGGUGAAAUGCGUAGAUAUCGGGAGGAACACCGGUGGCGAAGGCGGCGACCUGGGUCGAUACUGACGCUGAUGCGCGAAAGCGAGGGGAGCAAACGGG
rnacentral:rRNA from 1 species